CUACGUGCCAGCAGCCGCGGUAAUACGUAGGUGGCAAGCGUUGUCCGGAAUUAUUGGGCGUAAAGCGCGCGCAGGCGGAUUGGUCAGUCUGUCUUAAAAGUUCGGGGCUUAACCCCGUGAUGGGAUGGAAACUGCCAAUCUAGAGUAUCGGAGAGGAAAGUGGAAUUCCUAGUGUAGCGGUGUAAUGCGUAGAUAUUAGGAAGAACACCAGUGGCGAAGGCGACUUUCUGGACGAAAACUGACGCUGAGGCGCGAAAGCCAGGGGAGCGAACGGGAUUAGAUACCCCGGUAGUCCUGGCCGUAAACGAUGGGUACUAGGUGUAGGAGGUAUCGACCCCUUCUGUGCCGGAGUUAACGCAAUAAGUACCCCGCCUGGGGAGUACGACCGCAAGGUUGAAACUCAAAGGAAUUGACGGGGGCCCGCACAAGCGGUGGAGUAUGUGGUUUAAUUCGA
rnacentral:rRNA from 1 species